AUGCGAUAAGUAAUGUGAAUUGCAGAAUUCAGUGAAUCAUCGAAUCUUUGAACGCACCUUGCGCUCCUUGGUAUUCCGAGGAGCAUGCCUGUUUGAGUGUCAUUAAAUUCUCAACCCUUCCAGCUUUUGUGGCUGGUCGUGGCUUGGAUGUGGGAGAUACUGCAGGCCUCUCUGUAUUUGAGGUCAGCUCUCCUGAAAUGCAUUAGCGGAACUGUUUGCGGAUCCGUCACUGGUGUGAUAAUUAUCUACGCCAACGAUGACCGCUCUCUAUGUGUUCAGCUUCUAACUGUCUCUUUGUGGACAACUUUUGAACCUUUGACCUCAAAUCAGGUAGGACUACCCGCUGAACUUAA
rnacentral:misc_RNA from 1 species